AAGACUAUACUUUCAGGGAUCAUUUCUAUAGUUCUUUACUAAAAAAUCUUUAUUGUCUAAAGUAUUACAUAUAG
rnacentral:snoRNA from 1 species